AGAGUUUGAUCCUGGCUCAGAACGAACGCUGGCGGCGUGGAUAAGACAUGCAAGUCGAACGGAACAUUAUGAGUAGCAAUACAAGUAAUGUUUAGUGGCGAACGGGUGCGUAACACGUGGAUACAUUCCGGGAAGCGGGGGAUAGCCCAGGGAAACUUGGAUUAAUACCGCAUGUGAUCGAGAGAUCAAAGACGGGGACCGCAAGGCCUGUCACUUCCCGAUUGGUCCGCGGCCUAUCAGCUAGUUGGCGGGGUAAAAGCCCACCAAGGCGACGACGGGUAGCUGGUCUGAGAGGACGACCAGCCACACUGGAACUGAGACACGGUCCAGACACCUACGGGUGGCAGCAGUCGAGAAUCUUUCACAAUGGGGGCAACCCUGAUGGAGCGACGCCGCGUGGAGGAUAAGGUCUUCGGAUUGUAAACUCCUGUCAUGUGUGAACAAGGUUGCGGGGCUAACACCUUUGCAAAUUGAUGGUAACACAAGAGGAAGAGACGGCUAACUCUGUGCCAGCAGCCGCGGUAAUACAGAGGUCUCAAGCGUUGUUCGGAAUCACUGGGCGUAAAGGGUGCGUAGGUGGCGUGGUAAGUCAGAUGUGAAAGCCCGGGGCUCAACCUCGGAAUUGCAUCCGAUACUGCCAUGCUUGAGUACUGAA
rnacentral:rRNA from 1 species